rnacentral:rRNA from 1 species
CCCUUAGACGUUCUGGGCCGCACGCGCGCUACACUGACCAGUGCAACAAGCAUCCGUCCUUGGCCGACAGGCCUGGGCAAUCUUUGAACGCUGGUCGUGAUGGGGAUAGACUUUUGCAAUUUUUGGUCUUCAACGAGGAAUUCCUAGUAAACGCAAGUCAUCAACUUGCAUUGAUUACGUCCCUGCCCUUUGUACACACCGCCCGUCGCACCUACCGAUUGAAUGGUCCGGUGAAGCCUCCGGAUUGGCGCGCACCUCGGUGCCGCCGAGAAGUUGGCUAAACCUUACCAUUUAGAGGAAGGUGAAGUCGUANCA